rnacentral:rRNA from 1 species
UAAGUAGCGAAGUAGCUGAUCUCACACUGUCGAGAAAAGCCUCUAUCGAGGUUAAAGGUGCCUGUACCGCAAACCGACACAGGUGGGUGAGGAGAGUAUCCUAAGGCCAGCGAGAGAACUGUUGUUAAGGAACUCGGCAAAAUGACCCCGUAACUUAGGGAGAAGGGGUGCCUUCGAAAGAAGGCCGCAGAGAAUAGGCCCAAGCGACUGUUUACCAAAAACAUAGGUUUCUGCUAAGUCGCAAGACGAUGUAUAGGAGCUGACGCCUGCCCGGUGCUGGAAGGUUAAGGGGAUCUGUUAGAGCAAUCGAAGCAGUGAACUUAAGCCCCAGUAAACGGCGGCCGUAACAAUAACGGUCCUAAGGUAGCGAAGUUCCUUGUCGGGUAAGUUCCGACCCGCACGAAAGGCGUAACGAUUUGGGCACUGUCUCAACAACAGACUCGGUGAAAUUGUAAUACCGGUGAAGAUGCCGGUUACCUGCGACAGGACGGAAAGACCCCAUGGAGCUUUACUGUAGCUUGACAUUGAGUCUCGGUGCUACAUGUACCGGAUAGGUGGGAGACUAUGAAGCAUGGACGUCAGUCUGUGUGGAGUCAUCCUUGGGAUACCACCCUUGUAGUACUGGGAUUCUAACCAGAGGCCAUGAAUCUGGUCUUGGGACACUGUCAGGUGGACAGUUUGACUGGGGCGGUCGCCUCCCAAAAAGUAACGGAGGCGCUCAAAGGUUCUCUCAGUACGGUCGGAAAUCGUACGAAGAGUGUAAAGGCAAAAGAGAGCUUGAUUGCAAGACAUACAGGUCGAGCAAGGACGAAAGUCGGACUUAGUGAUCCGGUGGUUCCGCAUGGAAGGGCCAUCGCUCAACGGAUAAAAGCUACCCUGGGGAUAACAGGCUGAUCUCCCCCAAGAGUCCACAUCGACGGGGAGGUUUGGCACCUCGAUGUCGGCCCAUCACAUCCUGGGGCUGUAGUAGGUCCCAAGGGUUGGGCUGUUCGCCCAUUAAAGUGGUACGCGAGCUGGGUUCAGAACGUCGUGAGACAGUUCGGUCCCUAUCCGUCGCAGGCGUAGGAAAUUUGAGGAGACCUGUCCUUAGUACGAGAGGACCGGGAUGGACGUACCGCUGGUGUACCAGUUGUUCUGCCAAGGGCAUGGCUGGGUAGCUAAGUACGGAAAGGAUAAGCGCUGAAAGCAUCUAAGCGCGAAGCCCACUUCAAGAUAAGAUUUCCCACCGCAAGGUUAAGAUCCCAGGAAGACUACCUGGUUGAUAGGUCAGAGGUGUAAGUGUAGUAAUAUAUUUAGCUUACUGAUACUAAUAGAUCGAGGACUUGACC